AGAGUUUGAUCAUGGCUCAGAUUGAACGCUGGCGGAAUGCUUUACACAUGCAAGUCGAACGGCAGCACGGGGCAACCUGGUGGCGAGUGGCGAACGGGUGAGUAAUACAUCGGAACGUGCCCAAUCGUGGGGGAUAACGUAGCGAAAGUUACGCUAAUACCGCAUACGAUCUACGGAUGAAAGCGGGGGAUCGCAAGACCUCGCGCGAAUGGAGCGGCCGAUGUCAGAUUAGGUAGUUGGUGGGGUAAAGGCUCACCAAGCCAACGAUCUGUAGCUGGUCUGAGAGGACGACCAGCCACACUGGAACUGAGACACGGUCCAGACUCCUACGGGAGGCAGCAGUGGGGAAUUUUGGACAAUGGGCGCAAGCCUGAUCCAGCCAUUCCGCGUGCAGGAUGAAGGCCUUCGGGUUGUAAACUGCUUUUGUACGGAACGAAACGGUCUGCCCUAAUACGGUGGGCUAAUGACGGUACCGUAAGAAUAAGCACCGGCUAACUACGUG
rnacentral:rRNA from 1 species